GAUGAACGCUGGCGGCGUGCCUAAUACAUGCAAGUCGAGCGAACGGACGAGGAGCUUGCUUCUCUGAUGUUAGCGGCGGACGGGUGAGUAACACGUGGAUAACCUACCUAUAAGACUGGGAUAACUUCGGGAAACCGGAGCUAAUACCGGAUAAUAUUUUGAACCGCAUGGUUCAAAAGUGAAAGACGGUCUUGCUGUCACUUAUAGAUGGAUCCGCGCUGCAUUAGCUAGUUGGUAAGGUAACGGCUUACCAAGGCAACGAUGCAUAGCCGACCUGAGAGGGUGAUCGGCCACACUGGAACUGAGACACGGUCCAGAUUCCUACGGGAGGCAGCAGUAGGGAAUCUUCCGCAAUGGGCGAAAGCCUGACGGAGCAACGCCGCGUGAGUGAUGAAGGUCUUCGGAUCGUAAAACUCUGUUAUUAGGGAAGAACAUAUGUGUAAGUAACUGUGCACAUCUUGACGGUACCUAAUCAGAAAGCCACGGCUAACUACGUG
rnacentral:rRNA from 1 species